AAUUUCAUUUGUUGUGGCCCCCUUCUUUUCAGGCAAACUCUUAUAACCCUGAACCCACUGCAUAAAAUAUGGAGCUCAAUGUAAGAAUUAAAAUAUUUUUAAGAUUAUCUUGAUCACAAGUUUAAUUGAAGGUGUAAACUAAAGAAAAGGGGUCCAAACAUAGAAAUUCAUGUAUAGGAAAUGCAUUUAUGGGACUGUCAUUAACCCAAGGAAAAUGAUCCAGGAAAAUCAAAGGUGGAGAUGAGUGGUUCAGGGGAGCCAGUAUAGGAGAACAGAGCACUGUAAAAUCAGAACAUUUGGGCAACUGCUCAUUGAGAACCUGAAGGAAUAACCUCACAGAUGGUGGUCACACUCUCCUGGUCAAUCAGCUUAGGGCACCUAUCAACACAUCUGAGACUGCCAAGCAGAACUUCACAAGAAUGCUGACCCAAACACUGGAGGGAGGUUAAUAGCAUAUCUAGCAAAGGUGGCCAGCCCCAGAGCCCUCCAAGCCUGUUGUGUGAGGAAUGCCUACAUCAGGUAAUUUGCAAGUCCAGAAAGCUAAUGCAUCCAAACUCUGACUUUCUUUAUAUACUCUGGUUACUUUAAAACACACAAGUAAAGGACAGAACAUAUUUUGCAGUAAGAAGCACCAAAGCUCUGACAAAGAGCCCAGCUCCACGGAUUGGAAUUGCCAAUACCAAGGAUCCCUCAGGGUCUGGCUGUCUUUCCCUGCUUCAGCAAAUAGUUAUUUCUCUAGUUUCAUGCCGUGUACCUGGCAGGGACUAGACUUAGUCCAAAAUUUGAGGGGAAGCUGAAGUGUGUGGGGAAAGGGAGGCUGGUGCAGGGUGGAGGGUGUUCUCAGGCCUUAAGAGUGAACCAUGUGCUCUACCCCAACCUUGCCAACCUCUGAAAGAUAGUGAUAAAGUGUCGCUUUGUUUCCCAUUUGCUCUCGUUCUUUCUUUGUGCAGCUCUCUGGGGUGAGGAAUAAAUGGUAGGACAAGAUUUGGCCAUUUGAAGGUUCUCUAGUCAAGUGCGAUUAAUGUGAUCACAAUUUCAACCUCUAUCCCAUACACCUCUUCUUGGCAGAUCUGUCUUAUUUUUCAGUGAUAAACAUGUAUAGAGAGCUAUGGACAAAAAUAUCAAAGGCAUCAUUCAAACCUUUCAACUCUCACGUGGGCAUUGAGUAAGAGAAGGCAGCUUUGAAAUCAAUGACUCUGACUCCUUCCAAAGAAGACCCCUUAACAUUUCUAACCCUCCAUUCCAAAUAAGCAGAAAUUUCCACUUCUCUAAAAGCAGAGGGGGGACGUUGCUGGGUCAGUUUCAAAGGCUCAUUGGUUAACCACUGGCCACAGCAGAGUGAGAGGCUUCGCUCCCAGUUCUUGGUGGAAUGGAAAUUGACCUCACACACACCUUCUAAGCUUCUGAGUGAGAACUUGAACAAGCUCCCUAGGAAAGUAAGGAGGUAUGGAAUGUGCCCUUGUUAGCCUGACAUGAUUCUGCCUUUUGAUGGUUUGCUUCAUUUGUGGAAGGAAAAAGAACAAUAGAAAACAUUGAUCCUCUCUUUCCAGAUUAAGCGUUUGCAAUGCAACACAGCUAAGUAGGAAACCAAGAAAAAGAAAGGAUGAGAUGUUAACUGACGGAUGAAGUUACCUUUGUGUGCUCCAGUAACAGAUGUCCAAGCCACUUCAGGUCUACCUUUGUGCCUUGUUUUCUAAAUGUAUUUGGUCAUCUGCGAAUAGGCCUGAUUGACAUCACAUGAAACCCACAGGAUGUGCUUUGGACAGGGGAAUGAAUGAAUGAAAGUCUUCCUCCACAUGUUAUUUUAAUCCUAAGCUUGUUCCCAGCUUCCUGCCUGCAGGAAUCAUUAGCAGCUCCAGGAAAGGCAGAGUGGGAGCCACAGACCACCAGGAACUUACCCUUCACGCAGAGAGAGACUCUUCAGAUCUCAGACAGCAGUGCCCAAGAUGCCCGCACAGAACCCUGGUAUAUUCUACUGUGAAGUUUUUGCAGCGAAACUACAAUCAAACAAUCAGUUAGUCAGUCAAUAAAUCAACAGUUGUUAUGCGUA